rnacentral:rRNA from 1 species
AUGAGUUGUCAUGAUGGCAUCAACAUCCUCGAUGGCAAGUUUUACCUUAGAGAUGCUGGCUAUGCGUGUCGGCCUAGUGUUCUCCCACCCUUCAGAAAAACCAAGUUUCAUCUGAACGAGUGUGCUGGUAGGAACUAGCCUAGGACUCCUUAGGAACUGUUCAAUCCCAGACACUCCAGCCUUAGAGUGACUGUUGAGAGGGCCUUUGGAACUCCGAAGAACAGGUUUAAGAUUCUGGAUCAGGAGUUAUUCCACCCUUACCCUACCCAGGUGAAGCUUGCUCUUGCAUGUUGCGUUCACAACUGUAUCAUGCAAUGGGGGGUUGAUGAAUUUGUGCCGGAGGAGGAAGAUUUCACUCCUGAUGAGGCGAUCAGCUCCGGCCAUUCUGUGGAGGCGUUCAACAAUGAAGUGUGGAAGAACAAAACGUUGGAGUGGGCUCAGGUAAUGUGGGAUAACAGAGAUCAGACAAGGAUCUGA